rnacentral:rRNA from 1 species
UGGGGAAUCUUGCGCAAUGGGCGAAAGCCUGACGCAGCCAUGCCGCGUGAAUGAUGAAGGUCUUAGGAUUGUAAAGUUCUUUCGCUCGUGACGAUGAUGACGGUAACGAGAGAAGAAGCCCCGGCUAACUUCGUGCCAGCAGCCGCGGUAAUACGAAGGGGGCUAGCGUUGUUCGGAAUUACUGGGCGUAAAGCGCGCGUAGGCGGUUUUGCAAGCCAGAGGUGAAAUGCCUGAGCUCAACUUAGGAAUUGCCUUUGGGACUGCGAGGCUUUGAGGACGAGAGAGGUGAGUGGAAUUCCUAGUGUAGAGGUGAAAUUCGUAGAUAUCAGGAGGAACACCGGUGGCGAAGGCGGCCACCUGGACGGUUACUGACGCUGAGACGCGAAAGCGUGGGGAGCAAACAGGAUUAGAUACCCAGGUAGUCCCUGAGCGGGCUGGCAAGGCGCAU